UACGUAGGGUGCAAGCGUUUAAUCGGAAUUACUGGGCGUAAAGCGUGCGCAGGCGGUUUUGUAAGUCUGUCGUGAAAGCCCCGGGCUCAACCUGGGAAUUGCGAUGGAGACUGCAAGGCUUGAAUCUGGCAGAGGGGGGGUAGAAUUCCACGUGUAGCAGUGAAAUGCGUAGAGAUGUGGAGGAACACCGAUGGGCGAAGGCAGCCCCCUGGGUCAAGAUUGACGCUCAUGCACGAAAGCGUGGGGAGCAAACAGG
rnacentral:rRNA from 1 species